rfam:Dengue virus type 2 isolate P8-1407 polyprotein gene, complete cds
AUGAAUAACCAACGGAAAAAGGCGAGAAAUACGCCUUUCAAUAUG